rnacentral:rRNA from 1 species
AUUGAACGCUGGCGGCAUGCCUUACACAUGCAAGUCGAACGGCAGCACGGGUGCUUGCACCUGGUGGCGAGUGGCGAACGGGUGAGUAAUACAUCGGAACGUACCUUAUCGUGGGGGAUAACGCAGCGAAAGCUGUGCUAAUACCGCAUACGCCCUGAGGGGGAAAGCGGGGGAUCGAAAGACCUCGCGCGAUUAGAGCGGCCGAUGCCUGAUUAGCUUGUUGGUGGGGUAAAAGCCCACCAAGGCGACGAGCAGUAGCUGGUCUGAGAGGACGAUCAGCCACACUGGGACUGAGACACGGCCCAGGCUCCUACGGGAGGCAGCAGUGGGGAAUUUUGGACAAUGGGGGCAACCCUGAUCCAGCAAUGCCGCGUGAGUGAAGAAGGCCUUCGGGUUGUAAAGCUCUUUUGUCAGGGAAGAAACACCGGCUCUAACACAGUCCGGGAAUGACGGUACCUGAAGAAUAAGCACCGGCUAACUACGUGCCAGCAGCCGCAGUAA